GGGGUGGGAAGCAGGCAACAAGUACAGGAGUCAUUGGAGGAGGGAAAUAUGGAAGGAUCAUCCAGGCUUCCUUGCCCACAUGAUUUAGGUGGAAAGAAGCAUGGUGGAAUCUGCAAUGUUUCACCACCCUGUCUGAGCCUUUCUUUUCUGGAAAGGUGUUCUUAUGAACUCAAGAAAAACCAAGCAGAGAAAGGACUGAUUCCACAGAUUCUUGUCCAGUCAUUCCCAACACCAGCAACUCAAAUCAUGUCGACUUUGGUUUUCCAGAUUGCUGCAAGACAAUUCAAGUCGAAAAAGUUGCUAUACAAAGAAGAAAUAUAUAGAAAUCAAGUAACCAGAGUCCCACGGAAUAGGACAAAAAUACCCGGCAUCACUGCAGCACCUCACACCAAGGCAUGCUGAGAACCAAUGCAGAGAAGAAAAAUGGCACAUGGGCUGGCGGCUGCUUCCUCAGCCUCCUGACUUCCGGCAAUGGGCUCCACUCCUCACAACCAGAGGGCAGCAGAAUCCAGGAGGCUGGUGGUGCCUUCUCCACACCCAGAGUGGAUCAGCUCACUACCCACACCUACUCUCGGGCCCCAACUUCAAAGACGUGUGGGUUGCUGCCAAAGAUGGAGCAUGAGCUAAUGUCACCAGCCAGGAAGAAUAAUAAGCAAAUGCAUUAACUAAGGCUAAUUAGUCUUCUAUUUUUGUCUCUAAUCAUUUCUUAAAACCAAAAAAGUCAUUAUAGUCAAUUGUGUCUUCAGUGAAAGAUGUACUUGAAUUUCUAUAUGUGGGCUACAUUUUACAUGUCACGCAUCCAGCAGGAUCUUAGACACACUAUGUUUAGAUGGUCACCUGUAAUCUUGCCUAAGUCUUACUUUAGCUAUGAUUAUCCUUCUGAUGAAAAAUAAACAGAACAUAAAUUUCUU